rnacentral:snRNA from 1 species
GGAUGUGAGGGCGAUCUGGCUGCGACAUCUGUCACCCCAUUGAUCGCCAGGGUUGAUUCGGCUGAUCUGGCUGGCUAGGCGGGUGUCCCUCCCUCACCGCUCCAUGUGCGUCCCUCCCGAAGCUGCGCGCUCGGUCAAGUAGGACGAC